GUGCAGCAGUCGCGCAACCUCUGCAAUACGCGAAAGCGUGACAGGGCUACCCCGAGUGCCGUCCGCUGAGGAUGGCUUUUCUCCGGUGUAGUAAGCCGGAGGAAUAAGGAGAGGGCAAGUCUGGUGUCAGCCGCCGCGGUAAUACCAGCUCUCCGAGUGGUAGGGACGAUUAUUGGGCUUAAAGCGUCCGUAGCCGGCUCAGCAAGUCUCCCGUUAAAUCCAACGAUUCAAUCGUUGGACUGCGGGAGAUACUGUUGAGCUAGGAGGCGGGAGAGGCCGACGGUAUUCCCGGAGUAGGGGUGAAAUCUUAUAAUUCCGGGAGGACCACCAGUGGCGAAGGCUGUCGGCUAGAACGCGCUCGACGGUGAGGGACGAAAGCUGGGGGAGCGAACCGGAUUAGAUACCCGGGUAGUCC
rnacentral:rRNA from 1 species